rnacentral:rRNA from 1 species
GAGUUUGAUCCUGGCUCAGAACGAACGCUGGCGGCAGGCUUAACACAUGCAAGUCGAACGCGUGUGGCAAUACACGAGUGGCGCACGGGUGAGUAACGCGUGGAUAUCUGCCUUUUGGUUCGGAAUAACCUUGGGAAACCGAGGCUAAUACCGGAUGGUUCCUACGGGAUAAAGAUUUAUCGCCAAAAAGAUGAGUCCGCGUCCGAUUAGCUAGUUGGUGAGGUAACGGCUCACCAAGGCGACGAUCGGUAGCUGGUCUGAGAGGACGAUCAGCCACACUGGGACUGAGACACGGCCCAGACUCCUACGGGAGGCAGCAGUGGGGAAUAUUGGACAAUGGGGGCAACCCUGAUCCAGCCAUGCCGCGUGAGUGAUGAAGGCCUUCGGGUUGUAAAG